AAACUGGGGAACGUAACAAUACUCUACCACCACAGUAGCUUCCAUGCUCUUCCCGAGCGCCAGAAUGUUGCACCGGGACAUGUGCAGAAGGAUGUCGGCUGUAACACAGAUCUCAUACAGGAGCUCUGCGUAGGGCUCUCCUGCGGUCAAAGUUGUGCCGAGCUCCGCAAGCAACAACUGGUUCCUGUAAUCUAUUGCCAAGCUAAUCUGACCCAUUGGAUCCUCACAGGACAGUCAUGACAUCGGCUUACCCAUCCUCGUCUCGGUUGCUUUCUUGGCCAUCUUACUCAUUGCCACAGUAAAUUGAAGAAUAACAAAUAGUUUGUGAUUAGGAAACUUAUGAGAACAAAUACAAACUACAGCACACAACAUCCAGGGGAUUAUUCGUCUUUCAGAGUGUAUCUCUAUCCUUCCCACCCUCACUGAAGCCCUUCCCAAAGACAUUAUGUCUUCCUUCUGUGUGGAGACUAAUGACAAAACACAUGUGUUCGCUGCUGAGAGGAACGUCAGCACAGAGUGGGUGGAAAAGAUGUGUGAGAUCGCCUUUGGGGGGGAUAGUGGUAGCAGCACUAGUGUCUUUGACUCCAACAGAGGACAAACUGAUCUACAGAUGGCUGUGAAUCUCAUCUAUUACACCGGAGAAGAGGGACAGUCCUUGGCAUUGGAUACAUCUCUCUUCUAUUGUUAAUUCAGUCACUCUCUCUUGAGGAAAGUGGAACGUUUCUUACCAGACACCCUAGACCCACUACAAUUCGCAUACCACCCCAACAAAUCCAUGGAUGACGCAAUUGCCAUUGCACUCCACACUGCCCUAUCCCACCUAGACAAGAGAAAUGCAUAUGUAAGAAUGCUGUUUAUUGACUACAGCUCAACACUAUCUUGCACUCCAAGCUCAUCACUAAGCUCAGGGCCCUGGAUCUGAACCCAGCCCUGUGCAACUGGGUCCUAGACUUCCUGACGGGUCAACCCCAGGUGGGGAAGGUAGGCAACAACACCUCCGCUACGCUGAUCCUCAACACAUGGGCCCCACUGGCGUGCAUAAUCAGCCCCCUCCUGUACUCCCUGUUCACCCUUAACUGUGUGGCCACGCACAUCUCCAAUUCAAUCAUCAAGUUUUCGGAUGACACAACAGUAAGCCUGAUUACCAACAAUGACGGGACAGCCUACACGAAGGAGGUUAGAACCCUAUCCAAGUGGUGCCAGGAAAAUACCCUCUUUCUCAACGUCAACAAAAUGAAGGAGCUGAUCAUGGCUACAGGACACAGCAGAGAGAGCACGUCACCAUCCACAUCGACGGUGCCACAGUAGAGAGGGUCAGAAGCUUUAAAUUCUUCGGCAUGCAUAUCACUGAGGAGCUGAAAUGGUAUGUUCAUACUGACGGCGUGAAGUAGAAGGUGCAACAGUGCCUCUUCAACCUCAGGAGGUUGAGGAAAUUUGUCUUGGCCCCUAAGACCCUCAAACUUCUACAGAUGCACCAUCGAGAGCAUUCGGCCUGGUUGUAUCAGCGCCUGGUACGGCAACUGCACCUCCCGCAACCGUAGGGUUCUCCAGAGGGUGAUGCAGUCAACCCAACGCAUCACCAGGGGCACGCUGCUUGCCCUUCAGGCCAUCAACAGCACCCGGUGUCACAGGAAGGCCAAGACGAUCAUCAAGGAUCCCAGCCAUCUGAGACACGGCCUGUUCACCCCGCUACCAUCUAGAAGGUGGAGACAGUACAGGUGCAUCAAAGCUGGGAGGGACCAAGAGACUGAUAAACAGCUUUUAUCUCCAGACCAUCAGACCGUUAAACAGUCACCACUAGCCGGCCUCCGCCCAGUAAACUGCACUGAACAUGCUGUUACUAUCCGGCUACCACCCAGUACUCUACCCUACACCUUAGAGACUGCUGCUCUAUGUACAUAGUCAUUGGACAGUGGUCACCAAAAGAGUGGACUCAAGUCACAUGACUUGGACUCAAGUCUGACCUUGAGUCACAAAUCUGAUGACUUGAGACUCAACUUGAUAUAAAAUAAAAUAACUUGAGACUUGACUUUGAGCCCCAAGACUCAGGAGUCGACUAACUUGAGACUGACUUUGAAAUUAUCUGGCCAGGUUACGUAAUGUUUUGUCAGUCAUUUUGUGGCUCACCCGGCUCUCUGAUUGGACCAGCAAAAUGUCAAUCAACGUAGGUCAGGUGGAGCGCAAACGUCAAAUUGUAGGGAGAUCUGGAUUGCCAUAAAUUUAAUAUGCAGCUCUACAAAUUGUUUGGUGAUCAAGAAUAUGAACUGUUUACUUUGCAAGCUCACCUGCAAUGGGGUUUCAAGCAACAACAAGCCAAUAGGUCUUUUGAUAAGUCAAAAUUGCUGCUUGAAAUGUAUAAUUUAUUUUUAAAGCUUGCAUUUGGAAUUUGUUACACUUAAUUAUUACAUGUUGUGGUUCCAACAGGACCUUCGCCCCAGUUUGAGGUCCUGAGCCCUCUGGAGCAGGUUCUCUCUGUACUUUACUCCAUCUUUCCCUCGAUCCUGACUAGUCUCCCAGUCCCUGCCGCUGAAAAAUAUCUCCACAGCAUGAUGCU